rnacentral:rRNA from 1 species
UUCAGCAACGGAUCUCUUGGCUCUCCCAUCGAUGAAGAACGCAGCGAAAUGCGAUAAGUAAUGUGAAUUGCAGAAUUCAGUGAAUCAUCGAAUCUUUGAACGCACCUUGCGCCCUUUGGUAUUCCGAAGGGCAUGCCUGUUUGAGUGUCAUURAAUUC